rnacentral:rRNA from 1 species
GACGAACGCUGGCGGCGUGCUUAACACAUGCAAGUCGAACGGAAAGGCCCCUUUGGGGGUCCUCGAGUGGCGAACGGGUGCGUAACACGUGAGUAACCUGCCCUUGCCUUCGGGAUAACUUCAGGAAACUGGGGCUAAUACCGGAUAGGAAUCCUUGCUGCAUGGUGGGGGUUGGAAAGCUUCGGCGGUUUUGGAUGGACUCGCGGCUUAUCAGCUUGUUGGUGGGGUAGUGGCUUACCAAGGCUUUGACGGGUAGCCGGCCUGAGAGGGCGACCGGCCACAUUGGGACUGAGAGACGGCCCAGACUCCGACGGGAGGCAGCAGUGGGGAAUAUUGCACAAUGGGCGGAAGCCGGAUGCAGCAACGCCGCGGGCGGGAUGACGGCCUUCGGGUUGUAAACCGCUUUCAGCAGGGGCGAAGCUUGUGGUGACGGUACCUGCAGAAGAAGCACCGGCUAACUACGUG